rnacentral:miRNA from 1 species
CAUCGCCACCAGGUGUACUUCA